rnacentral:rRNA from 1 species
GACGAACGCUGGCGGCGUGCUUAACACAUGCAAGUCGAACGGCAAGGCCCUGCUUUUUUGGGGUUCUCGAGUGGCGAACGGGUGAGUGACACGUGAGUAACCUGCCCUUGACUUUGGGGUAACUUCAGGAAACUGGGGCUAAUACCGGAUAGGAGCUCCCGCUGCAUGGUGGGGGUUGGAAAGUUUCGGCGGUUGGGGAUGGACUGGCGGCUUAUCAGCUUGUUGGUGGGGUAGUGGCAUACCAAGGCUUUGACGGGUAGCCGGCCUGAGAGGGUGACCGGCCACAAUGGGACUGAGAGACGGCCCAGACGCCUACGGGAGGCAGCAGUGGGGAAUAUUGCACAGUGGGCGGAAGCCUGAGGCAGCAGCGCCGCGUGCGGGAUGACGGCCUGCGGGUUGUAAACCGCAUUCGCCUGUGACGAAGCGUGAGUGACGGUAAUGGGUAAAGAAGCACCGGCUAACUACGUG